rnacentral:misc_RNA from 1 species
GAUGAAGAACGUAGCGAAAUGCGAUACGUAAUGUGAAUUGCAGAAUUCAGUGAAUCAUCGAGUCUUUGAACGCACAUUGCGCCCUCUGGUAUUCCGGAGGGCAUGCCUGUCCGAGCGUCAUUGCUGCCCUCAAGCACGGCUUGUGUGUUGGGCCCCGCCCCCCGAUCCCGGGGGGCGGGCCCGAAAGGCAGCGGCGGCACCGCGUCCGGUCCUCGAGCGUAUGGGGCUUUGUCACCCGCUCUGUAGGCCCGGCCGGCGCCUGCCGAUCAACCAAACUUUUUUCCAGGUUGACCUCGGAUCAGGUAGGAAUACCCGCUGAACUUAAGCAUAUCAAUAAGCGGAGGA